rnacentral:rRNA from 1 species
UCGAGCGGCACCGACGGGAGCUUGCUCCCGGAUGUUAGCGGCGGACGGGUGAGUAACACGUGGGUAACCUGCCUGUAAGACUGGGAUAACUCCGGGAAACCGGAGCUAAUACCGGAUAGUUCCUUGAACCGCAGGGUUCAAGGAUGAAAGACGGUUUCGGCUGUCACUUACAGAUGGACCCGCGGCGCAUUAGCUAGUUGGUGAGGUAACGGCUCACCAAGGCGACGAUGCGUAGCCGACCUGAGAGGGUGAUCGGCCACACUGGGACUGAGACACGGCCCAGACUCCUACGGGAGGCAGCAGUAGGGAAUCUUCCGCAAUGGACGAAAGUCUGACGGAGCAACGCCUCGUGAGUGAUGAAGGUUUUCGGAUCGUAAAGCUCUGUUGUUAGGGAAGAACAAGUGCAAGAGUAACUGCUUGCACCUUGACGGUACCUAACCAGAAAGCCACGGCUAACUACGUGCCAGCAGCCGCGGUAAUACGUAGGUGGCAAGCGUUGUCCGGAAUUAUUGGGCGUAAAGGGCUCGCAGGCGGUUUCUUAAGUCUGAUGUGAAAGCCCCCGGCUCAACCGGGGAGGGUCAUUGGAAACUGGGAAACUUGAGUGCAGAAGAGGAGAGUGGAAUUCCACGUGUAGCGGUGAAAUGCGUAGAGAUGUGGAGGAACACCAGUGGCGAAGGCGACUGUGUGGACUGUAGCUGACUCUCAGGAUCGCAGCCCUGGGGACGAUCCUGAUCAUAUACCCUGGUAGACAAAGCGUCAUCGAUCACUGGUGAGUUUCACCGGGUGUUCCUCCCCUCUUCAGCUGCAACUGGAAGUACUCUGCGCUCUCCUGCGG